rnacentral:rRNA from 1 species
UACGAAGGGUGCAAGCGUUAAUCGGAAUUACUGGGCGUAAAGCGUGCGUAGGCGGUUGUUUAAGUCUGCUGUGAAAUCCCCGGGCUCAACCUGGGAAUGGCAGUGGAUACUGGACAGCUAGAGUGUGUCAGAGGAUGGUGGAAUUCCCGGUGUAGCGGUGAAAUGCGUAGAGAUCGGGAGGAACAUCAGUGGCGAAGGCGGCCAUCUGGAUCAACACUGACGCUGAGGCACGAAAGCGUGGGGAGCAAACAGG